UCAAUGUUCCAUUUUUUACAGAUCCGUCGGUUAUAUUAAUCUAUAGUAUCCACCCUCGUAGGCCUAGUUUUAGUAGCAUUACGAAUUCGCUCCCUUUACAGAGAUGUUUUCAAAACAAAAUACUGUUCUACUAGUGAUUCUUGCUCUUCUGGCUACAGCGAUUAUCGCAGACGCAAAGCCUAGCAAGAACAACAAGUCCAACAAUCCUGAUUCCAGUGAUGAUAAGAAACACAAGUCGACAGAUGAUGGCACUUUCACGGCAAAGACGGGAGUGCAAAACUAUGUGGCCAAGUGUUGGAUGUAUUGUCUUCGCAAAAACCUGUAUACCUUCUAUCUGAGGUGCCAAAAUGUACAAGAUAAAACUACGUGCAUGUAUUGCAGAUAUUGGUUGAGAUGUCCAAGCGGCUAUGGGUAUUUUUAAGAGGUUGAUGUUGUUACAACUGCUACCAGCCAUUUCCAGAGUGUUCCACAGUCCCAACCGAAGAUACUUGGGGCAACACUUAUUUUGUAUUGUAUGGAAUGUGAUAUGAUUGAAGGGGAAGAUGAAGAUACCUUGAAACAUUUGCAAAUUUGUAUACCGGUACUUCUAUCGCAUUAGAAGAAACUUUUGUGAACAUAAACUUUGAAUCAUCCUCAUUAGGAAAAUAUUGUUGACACCAUUUCAUUUCGUUUUUGCUUGCACAAUCGUGGGUUUUGUGUGUAUUUUGAUAUAAUAAACAUUCAUAUUUGCACCUUUGUA